rnacentral:rRNA from 1 species
AACUAACGCUGGCGGCGUGCCUAACACAUGCAAGUCGUACGAGAAAGUCGGCUUCGGCCGAUGAGUAAAGUGGCGCACGGGUGAGUAACGCGUGGGUAAUCUGCCCCCCGGUCAGGAAUAACCCGCCGAAAGGCGGGCUAAUACCCGAUAACACUGACACUCUGCGGAGUGUCUUUCAAAGAAGGCCUCUGUUUACAAGCUUUCACCGGAGGAUGAGCCCGCGUACCAUUAGCUAGUUGGCAGGGUAAUGGCCUACCAAGGCAACGAUGGUUAGCUGGUCUGAGAGGAUGACCAGCCACACUGGAACUGAGACACGGUCCAGACUCCUACGGGAGGCAGCAGUGAGGAAUCUUGCGCAAUGGGGGAAACCCUGACGCAGCAACGCCGCGUGAGUGAGGAAGGCUUUCGGGUCGUAAAGCUCUGUCGGAUGGGAAGAAAUGGUUGGAAGCUAAUACCUUCCAUCCUUGACGGUACCAUCAGAGAAGCACCGGCUAACUCCGUGCC